GGGAAAACCAGGGCAAAUAUUGCCAUAAUGGGCUGUGCUAAAAUCCUUCCUACUUCACUAAAUGAGCAAGGAUUUAGGAGGGGUCAGUACUGGCCUUAAAAUGACCUGUGUUUGAAUGGGUGUGAAUCACUUUAUGAUGCCUUCUAUCACCCCUUGGAAGGAACCCUAAAAUAAGCAGGGGACCAGCAAUGGGACAUUAUCCCUGGGUGACUUUAUCAUCUCCUGGGGGCGCACUUUGCCAUAAAACAGUCUUGGCAAUCUCCCAUCCAAAAUAAGGUUUAAUCUUUUUAUUUGUUUCUGUGGACUCUGAUGACAAAGGUCAGGACCUCUCUAUGAAGGUGGCUUGCAGCUGACACUAAACCACGUCCAUGUUUGGUUCUGCCCUUCCCUAGGUCAUAGGAGCACCCAUGACAACACAGGAGUGGGUUCACUAGGUGGCCAGAGCCCUCCUGCACAGCCACAAUAUUCCGCAAGGGCAAAGAACACCUCUGUCACCUCGUAUAACAUUCGCUUGCUUCCUGGAGCCAUUUGCUUGUGCUCCAUGGUAACCUCAGCAGAGGCUCCUGGAGGUGACAGUUCUGGGAUGCAAAGAAGGGCAAAUGAAGCAGGGCAGCUAUUUGUCCAUGUGAGUAUUUGGACUUCCUUGACACACAUAAGAGCAACUUCCUUCCUUUUUACUUUGAAUCCUAAGAAAAUGCCUCAAUUAAAAAAAAAUUAACCUUGGAAAGAGAGGAUGUGAAUUAACUCACUUUCCAUGACCUGAACCACUUAGAGCUUCCAACAGAGCUUUGGGGGGAAAUCUGUAUUUGAUCAAUGUUGAAACAAUCACUCUGAUACAGAAAUGCAUGCAAAAAGAGCAAUUUCUGACCAGCUUUUAUUUUGCAUAUUCUAUUCCUUUUGACAGUGAUGACAAAUGGAAUAAGAUUUUUGUUCACUACAAGAAGCUCAGUAGUGUGUACCAGGGCAAUUAACUUGGAAAUCUGUGAAUAAGCAUGAUUCAGGGGCCUGUUGAACAUCAACUUGAGGACUCUUAUGAAUCCUGGUUGCUUCCAUUGGCUGAAAAAAUACUGUAAAAUCUUGCAUUUUGCAGUAAAAAAAAUUCAUUGUGCUUGUGACUCCUACUUGAGUCACAUGGUAUCAGAUGGAAAAUGAGUAGGAAGGAAAGGAUCGCUGCCAACUAAAAGGAGAGAGUCUAGUCUGGACAGAGCAUUUUGUAGGACACAGAUUUGAUGGUAAGCCAACUAUUUUAAAAAUCCUCAUUCUUGCAAGCUAGCACAUGACCUCUUUCCUAAGGGUGAGAAGACUCCAGAGGUACAUAUUUGCCAUCUGGAGUGGACUAUGCAAUUCAUCUAGAAACCUGCAUCAUUGAAAUUAAUCAUCAUGAUGAACAAGGAGAGCAUGCUGGGGCAGGGAGGUCAGUUUCACUUGAUAAGAAUAGAAUGCACAUUCUAGCUGGGAAUGUGCUGACAUUCAUUGCAUUCAGGAAAAUUCUACACAAAGCCUCUCUCUCUGGAGAGGAUUCCUGAGAAAGAGAAGGGCUCCCUGUGUGGCAUAGAAAUGAGAACCCCCUCAAAGCCCUGACUUUUGAAGGUGUCCAGAAUCACAGUGAUUCAAUGUCAUUGGAUAUUGCUCUUUUUCUUCCUGGAAGGGAAGCA
ensembl:lncRNA